GGCAGAAAUCUUCUCCUGUGUUUUUAGGCGGCGGUCUCCGGAUCAGUGGAUGUAAGGUUUUUGUGGAGAAAACAGAAGAUCAAGGAAGAGGUCAAACGUCGAAGGGCGGACAGGUGAGCGAGCGCUGGACGAGCCACUGGUAGGUGCUCUUUCUAAAGAAGCAACAAGGAGACACUUCUGUUCCUUCGCUGAAAGGGAGAGUCAACAUGGCAGAAAACACAAAGAGAAUCAUCCAGAUAACAACAGUCUGGUCUGCAAGGAAGGUACAGAACCAAGGGAAAACCCACUCCUCUAACUACUGCUUCUUAACGAGGGCUGGUGAACAUCAGUCACAUCCUGAAGAGGAGGAAGCCUCAUGAAGCUGUUGAAGCUGUUCAUCGGACACGAGAUGAAAUCAACACGCUGACGGGUUUGAGACACACACGGGUUAUCGGAUGCUUUCCCUCCAUUGUGUGCCAUAUUACUAGACUUUUCUUUCUCCCCCUCGGCCCGUCUGCGAUUCAAACAUCGUGCAGAGAAAUCGUGGCAAUCCAAGAGGCUCUGAGCAGAAAGGUCACAGAGAGAGUCUGUAAAAUGGAUGAAGCCUAAUGAUUAGCUCAACCUUUGCCUAAUCAAUAAUCAUUUAUCCAACAAUAUCACCGGCAGCCACAGCCCCAUUUGCCAUUAACCUCAGCAGCGAGGCGAGAGGCAGUAUUGUUUCCUCUGGCAGCUUUAUGGCACUCCGAUGAGUGGUAGGGCCGGGAGGAAGCUUAAGGUUGGAUCUUGAUGGCUCGGAUCCUAUUAAGAGACUGCAGGUAUUUUACUGGAGAAGUGUCAUAUAAUUACACUUUUAAAUGAUUGACGGUAAUGUUCGGCAUGCUGGUAAAACUGUACAACGAGAGGUGGGGGGGAGGGGUGAUCAUUUAGCUCCAGGACAGAAUAUUAAAAAUGUUUAUGUGCACUUAAGUGAAAACAAACGCCUUAAAAAUUUGUUAAAUUGCAAAAUGUUGAAUUUUGUUUUGUUUAAAAAAAAAAACAUUUUAAAAGGCCUAGAAUGUCAGCGAAAGGAUUUGUCUUUCCAUGUUCUGAAGCAUUUUGAAGAAGGGAAAUCAAUAAACGUGUUUAGGUCUGACUUAGCUCAUAUCUCCUUCCCCAGCAAAAACAGACUGCAAAUUAUCACAACAUAAAAAUACUGAUCUGCGCCUUUGCUUCUUAAUCCUGUCCCACACUCGGCCGCAAAGCAUUAGCAGCGCCCGUCUCCUCUGUGUCUCUCCAUGAUGCCAUCUUCAUCAUAACCUCUCCCGUUUUAUUGCUUUUAAUGACUCCUUCUCCCUUUUCAUUAAUUCUUUAUCGAUUUCUCCUGACGUCGCCUGAAUUAUUUUUCAAUUACAGAAAAUAAAAGAAAAAGAAGAGCAUCGGAAUAUGCACGUCUGCCUGCGUUUGCUGCGGUUGUGUUGUGGCUGCCGGUUUGUGCUUUUUUUUCCCUCCCCUACAUCUUUCUGAUAAAAAACACACACUUUUACACCCGUUCCUACACAUAAUACACACGGAAUAUGACUACGACUGCAGAAGAAGAGAGGGAAAGGUCACCGCUCGCUUCCAGAGGCUGGUCUGGGGUUCUCUGGAGUGUGUUUCCCAGAGAGGAGCGGAGCUUGGACACCGUCCACAGGGGCAAGCAAACACACACACACACACAAACAAACACACAGAGAAAACAUCUUCCAACUGACGAUUCAGGAUCUUUUAAUAUGCUGAUCUGAGAAUAUGAAGGAUGGUCUCAAAAGCAGAUAGAUGCGGUCACAAAAUGAGCCUCAGAAGGCGCCGGUUUAAUACCCACAGGUCGUUAAUUAUAACAAUUAUUCAAGCUCAUAUCACAGACACAUAUUGACUGUUUUUUUCUUCUUUUUGGUCUCUACUUGGGUUGUCUGGUGACGCACCCCAAAAGGCUCAAUUAAAGAAUAAAGUGAGUGUAUUAAGUGUGUGUAUGCGUGUGUGAGUGCGUGUGUGUGUACAGGAAAUGGAAAUAGAUUUUCACCUGCACUGUUUAUCAUGGGGCGCACAAUGCUUUUUUGUCCCUCUGUUGUCCAAUUACAUCAUAUUAUGUUGAAGUCGUGUCAGACAGAAUUAUGUUUUAUGACCUGGAUGGGUGCGAUGCACACACACACACACGCACACACACACACACAUUUAUAUAUUUGGACAUGUGAUGGAAAUCAAAUAAACUUGUUCCAUCCACUCACCUGUGUGGUCAUCUGAGUGCAUGCGCAGCACCGUAUGUCCCUUAAGUGUCAUAUUUAAGCUACCUUCGCCAUGUUGCAUGGCUGUCCUACGAUGUGUGUGUUCCUGAGUGCGUCUGCGUGCGUGUGUGAGUGUGUGUUUGACCUCCACUGCCCGUCUCCCUGCCAUCCUUCCUUUGAGAGCCAGUGUGAUAUACGGAGCUCUAAUUGUCAGGUCUGGCCCCCACAUUCCUCGCUUCCAACAGCCGACCAACAGUGUGUCACUUUAACAACCGCAAAUUAUCACCGCGAUGGAGAUCUCGGCUUCACUGCGCCUCUAUGAGAAUAUAGAUACAUUUCCUUCAAUAAAUUACUUCCCACCAACCACCGACACUCCACACACACAUGCACACACUCCUAUAUUCUCACACAGUCGACUCAUUACCUGUCUGCCGCUGUCCUCUCUCACACUCGCCGGUCUCUGACUGACAUUUUUACCACAACAUUAUUGUGUGUGCCUCAGGAUCUGCCUAAAAGGGAGUGAGAUGAAGCUAACCCUUUGUGUCACUUUGACCAGGGUGUUUGAUUCUUAAAGAUGUGAGCUGGAACCGAACAUGAAGGGGCCGAAAAGUCUAGACAGACAGAAAAAUACUGUUUAAUUUGCUGCGUUCAGUUUUUAUUGACUGUAAGUUAAAAAAAAAAAAAUUAAAAAUCACUCCAAAUGAAAUGUAGAAAGUGUUUUUGAAGGCUCUUUUACACAAUGGGUGUCCAGGCUUUUUGUCAUGUCGACCAAAAUUGUCGAAUUUUUUGUUUGUUUUUUGUUGGAAAUUAUUCAAUAUAUUAUUAAAAGAGAGGUAUCUUGUUUUCAAAUUCUUUUUGUUUCCAUUUGAAGAAUUUUAUUAUCAGUCUUAAAAACAGGAUUUGGGUCACUUCCUUUGAAAAUGUUUGCUAUAUUUAGCUAAGUUUAAUUAAUAGUUGACUUUUCAGUAAGAGUUUCGAGAUAGACGAGGUUCUACUUAUCAAGAUUCAGUUGUAAAAAGAUGAAUACUUUACAUACUUUACAUUUAAAACAUUUUCGUCAAUAAAACCUUUACCCCGAUUAAAAAAAAUAAAGUCUCUAAUUGCAUCAACCACACAGGUGGACGGGUCAAAUCUGUAGCUUUCUUCAGCUGCUGUUGGGGGCCACAAAAAAUCUGUCCAAGGGCCACAAAUGACCUUUGAACGCCCAUGUUUUAGAGUGUCCUUUAGCAUCUUCUGUAGCAAAUUACAUCUGAUUAUCUUUUCUAAAAAACAGAAAGGGGAAAAAAACUAAAGGAUGGAACAGAAAAAAAAAGAGUAAUGUCAUUAUCAGACUGAAUCAUUAGAGCCCAUCCUGCCAUGUGGUUCAUUUUUAUAUCAGCACUAAACAAAAUAAUUCCAACCACCCAAUCGGAUGCAGCCUAAGUAGUUCAACAUGGCCGUGCGAAGCGGAGCAGUCAUCUUCUCCGGCGGACGGGAUGCCACGUAAGUGUUUCAGGCUGUCUCCAUAGAAGUCCCGGCCAGCUACGCUGCGGGCUCGGCCAGAACCGGGGGUUCUCUCUAAUGAAAGGCAGACUGAAAAAGCCUCUUUGAUUGAUUUCCUACAUCUUGGUUUGAUAUCCUGAAUUAAUUAUUUGAACUUGAAUAAUAUAUAAAGGGAAAAAUAAAUGUAAAACACUCAGGGGAAAUAAGUGGAGCACUUCAGUGAUGUUGCAGCAGCUGCGUUUGAUACACUGGUUCUGUAUCUGCUUGUCAAUCUUUCCCUGGAAUACUCCGGAGUUUAUCUUUGACGGAGGAAACCUUGUGUGGAGUCACAGAAGAUGGAGGUUUUUAUGCGACUGUGGAAGACGGUAAAAGUACAGAACCUUAAAAAGUAUUCAUCCGUCUUGACCUUUUACACAUUUUGCCACAGCACAGAUUUCAUUGUGGUUUGUUUUUUGCUGUAUCAUGCAGAAGACCAACACAAAGUGGUGCAUAGUGGUGAAGUAGGAGACGUGGAGCUCAGGAUUUUCAAAUUAAUAAUCUGAAAAAGUUGGGAUGCAUUCAACUCCAUUUAUUCUCCUAAAUACAACCUAACUAAUUUCCUUCAAAUGUCAAAAAUACUUAGCAAAGUGCUGCUUUGAGGAGACUAACUGUUGUCUGUAGGCUAACCAUCUGAACCAGGGGUCAACACCUGUGGUUCCAGGGCCACAAGUGGCUCUGUAAGCCUUUCACAAUGGCUCUUAGUAGAGGGGGCACAUCAAGCCAAAGUAAGUUACCAAGCAAGUAUUGGUAUCUGGUCGAUACUUGGGUAGUAAGAUAGACUUUGUAGUUUCAGAUUCCCUUAUGAAAUGUUAUUUUUUAAUUGUUGUGUUGCAGUUUCUCAACUACUUAAAUAAAGAUUUUUUAAUUUCCUCUCA